ensembl:lncRNA
CUCGAUGUUCGGUUGGCAACGUAAAUAAUGUCGCGGGACGCUCCGGCGCGAAAUAGUACGGUUAACAUUCGGAACACGGAGGAGUUCGAAGGCGGGAGGGAAGAUUCGGGAGGGAUAACCGUCGCUAGCAGUCGGGGACUUGAAAGACACGGGCGGGCCUCUCGGCUGCUGCAGCCCCGGCAUUUUCUCCGGCGAAGAAAGGCUUUGUAUUGAGCCGCGGCUUUACCCUCCUAGCCGCGGCUAUUUUUCCUACAACACACACGGGGGAAGCACACAACAACAACAACAACAACAACAACCACAAAGCAGCAGACGUUUCAACUCACUCUGACACGAAAAGCACCUCCGCUUGGGUGAGAGCGGGCCGGUCGCGGCGGCGAAUCGGGACGUGGAGGGGAGCCGUCGCGCAGGCGGUAAUGUCGGUGUCCUGCAGCCCGAUGAGUCCCCCCUCUCUGCCGCUCCCCGACGCCGGGCGGGCCGGCGGCUUCCUCAAACCCAAAGUCCAGCCCCUGCGGCCCAGCCGAGCGGGGACGCUUCCAAAUAAGACACCGGCUUUGUUUUUUGUCAUGUGUUGCGGUUACAUUUUCGUGUUUUUGCAUUUGAAUUUAAAAAAGAAAUUAAAAAAAAAGAGUGAUGUGUAAUUUUGAUAGUUAAUUCCGCAUGGAUGAAUAAAAACAUUCCCCACUUUGUCUUUGAGGAGAAUUCAUUCCCAAGAGUUGUGUGCGAUCCACGAAGUGUGUUACAGUUGGACGGCUUUCUUUCCGGGGUCCCAAAAAGCAACACUGCGCCUCGAGAGGCGAUUCAUCCAUCAAAGUGUCCGGCUGUUUGUCUUCUGUUUGUAA